AGCCCUGUGGCUCAGUUGGUAGAGCAUGGUGUGUGCAAUGCCAGGGUUGUGGGUUUGAUUCCCACGGGGGGCCA
rnacentral:tRNA from 1 species